GCGAAUUGCCCUUGCGGGUGCGCAAGAGCUAUAAAUGUACGUGACUGCAAUAGGGAUACAGCGAGUGCCAUCUGACCUGGGAUGCCUGUGCCUCCGUCUAAGACAAAGAGGUUACCAAGAGCCGGGGACGACCAGUACCGGUCCCCGCGGCCAUACCAGCAGCUCCAGUGCUGGCGGAUAUCAUUGAUUCUGAAGGGACCGGAUCCGUCUUUGCAAGUCCCCUGCUAAAUCCAAAUCCUUAACCUUUGGGCUUUCAUGUUAUACAAAUUUGCUUGGGAUUGGGACAGGUAGAAGGUACACGUAGUUUAGGGGUAAGAUUAAAAUCUUGUAUUCCUUAAAGGACCUCCAAUGGCAAUGUCCUCUCACCAGAACGACCCUGACGGCAAAGGACUAAAGCUACGAGCCCGAUCCGAAUUACAUACCCGGCUAGUCCUAACCGAAAACAAUCCUCUCUAAGUGUCGGCCACAGUGCGACCGUUGUCGGUGCCAUACGGAAACCGUGAACCCAGCCACCUGGGAACUACGGCCGCAAGGCUGAAACUUAUAGGAAUUGGCGGGGGAGCAC
rnacentral:rRNA from 1 species